GAUGAACGCUGGCGGCGUGCUUAACACAUGCAAGUCGAACGAAGCGAUUUAGCGGAAGUUUUCGGAUGGAAGUUAAAUUGACUGAGUGGCGGACGGGUGAGUAACGCGUGGGUAACCUGCCUCACACUGGGGGACAACAGUUAGAAAUGACUGCUAAUACCGCAUAAGCGCACAGGACCGCAUGGUCCGGUGUGAAAAACUCCGGUGGUGUGAGACGGACCCGCGGUUGAUUAGCUAGUUGGUGGGGUAACGGCCUACCAAGGCGACGAUCAAUAGCCGACCUGAGAGGGUGACCGGCCACAUUGGGACUGAGACACGGCCCAAACUCCUACGGGAGGCAGCAGUGGGGAAUAUUGCACAAUGGGGGAAACCUUGAUGCAGCGACGCCGCGUGAGUGAAGAAGUAUUUCGGUAUGUAAAGCUCUAUCAGCAGGGAAGAAAAUGACGGUACCUGACUAAGAAGCCCCGGCUAACUACGUGCCAGCCGCCGCAGUAU
rnacentral:rRNA from 1 species